UACGGAGGGUGCGAACGUUGCUCGGAAUCAUUGGGCGUAAAGCGCACGUAGGCGGCGGCGUAAGCGGGAUGUGAAAGCCCAGGGCUCAACCCUGGAAGUGCAUCCCGAACUGUGUCGCUUGAAUCUCGGAGGGGGACAGAGAAUUCCCGGUGUAGAGGUGAAAUUCGUAGAUAUCGGGAGGAAUACCAGUGGCGAAGGCGGCCAGCUGGGCCGUCCCUGACACUGAGGCGCGAAGGCGUGGGGAGCGAACGGG
rnacentral:rRNA from 1 species